rnacentral:rRNA from 1 species
AAUUACUGGGCGUAAAGAGCUCGUAGGUGGUUUGUCGCGUUGUUCGUGAAAACUCACGGCUUAACUGUGGGCGUGCGGGCGAUACGGGCAGACUAGAGUACUGCAGGGGAGACUGGAAUUCCUGGUGUAGCGGUGGAAUGCGCAGAUAUCAGGAGGAACACCGGUGGCGAAGGCGGGUCUCUGGGCAGUAACUGACGCUGAGGAGCGAAAGCGUGGGGAGCGAACAGGAUUAGAUACCCUGGUAGUCCACGCCGUAAACGGUGGGUACUAGGUGUGGGUUCCUUCCUUGGGAUCCGUGCCGUAGCUAACGCAUUAAGUACCCCGCCUUGGGGAGUACGGCCGCAAGGCUAAAACUCAAAGGAAUUGACGGGGGCCCGCACAAGCGGCGGAGCAUGUGGAUUAAUUCGAUGCAACGCGAAGAACCUUACCUGGGUUUGACAUGCACAGGACGCCGGCAGAGAUGUCGGUUCCCUUGUGGCCUGUGUGCAGGUGGUGCAUGGCUGCCGUCAGCUCGUGUCGUGAGAUGUUGGGUUAAGUCCCGCAACGAGCGCAACCCUUGUCCUAUGUUGCCAGCGGGUUAUGCCGGGGACUCGUAGGAGACUGCCGGGGUCAACUCGGAGGAAGGUGGGGAUGACGUCAAGUCAUCAUGCCCCUUAUGUCCAGGGCUUCACACAUGCUACAAUGGCCGGUACAAAGGGCUGCGAUGCCGUGAGGUGGAGCGAAUCCUUUCAAAGCCGGUCUCAGUUCGGAUCGGGGUCUGCAACUCGACCCCAUGAAGUCGGAGUCGCUAGUAAUCGCAGAUCAGCAACGCUGCGG